GCCGGCUUAUCCAGUUCUGGAAAUCUCCGAAUUCGGUAACGUUCGGAGAUUUCAAGAAGAACUGAAUUUAUCUACAAACCCUUCCCCCUUUUCUUUUCUUAGUAAUUUAAAGAUAAAAUACAUUUCUAAUUUCUCCUUAAGAAAGAGGUUUACUAUACUUAUGAUUAAUUUUAAAUAUUUCUGACUUUUUAUCAAUUACCUUUACUUUGAUUAACAUGUUUAAGACAAUUCAAUAAAUUCGUCUUUUUCCAAUAGAAUUUCUUCACUUCCGGUUGAUUAUCACAGCAUCGACGAAAAUACUACCCACGACUUCAUUGGUUGAAUCAAUUAUUAGUUUCUCGAACCUUUUGAGAAUUAUGAUUUCAAU
rnacentral:lncRNA from 1 species